rnacentral:rRNA from 1 species
GAUGAACGCUGGCGGCGUGCCUAAUACAUGCAAGUCGAGCGAACGGACGAGAAGCUUGCUUCUCUGAUGUUAGCGGCGGACGGGUGAGUAACACGUGGAUAACCUACCUAUAAGACUGGGAUAACUUCGGGAAACCGGAGCUAAUACCGGAUAAUAUAUUGAACAGCAUGGUUCAAAAGUGAAAGACGGUCUUGCUGUCACUUAUAGAUGGAUCCGCGCUGCAUUAGCUAGUUGGUAAGGUAACGGCUUACCAAGGCAACGAUGCAUAGCCGACCUGAGAGGGUGAUCGUCCCCACUGUAACUGAGACACGGUCCAGACUCCUACGGGAGGCAGCAGUAGGGAAUCUUCCUCAAUGGGCUCAAGCCUGACGUAGCAACGCCCCGUGAGUCAUGAAGGUCUUCGGAUCGUAAAACUCUGUUAUUAAAGAAGAACAUAUGUGUAAGUAACUGUGCACAUCUUGACCGUACCUAAUCAGAAAGCCACGGCUAACUACGUG